rnacentral:rRNA from 1 species
ACCUUACCAGCUCUUGGCAUCUUCUGACAACNNCUAGAGAUAGAGCGUUCCCUUCGGGGACAGAAUGACAGGUGGUGCAUGGUUGUCGUCAGCUCGUGUCGUGAGAUGUUGGGUUAAGUCCCGUAACGAGCGCAACCCUUGUUGUUAGUUGCCAGCAUUAAGUUGGGCACUUUAACGAGACUGCCGGUGAUAAACCGGAGGAAGGCGGGGAUGACGUCAAAUCAUCAUGCCCCUUAUGAGCUGGGCUACACACGUGCUACAAUGGAUGGUACAACGAGCAGCGAUCCCGCAAGGGCUAGCUAAUCUUUCAAAGCCAUUCUCAGUUCGGAUUGCACUCUGCAACUCGAGUGCAUGAAGUCGGAAUCGCUAGUAAUCGCGAAUCAGAAUGUCGCGGUGAAUCCGUUCCCGGGUCUUGUACACACCGCCCGUCACACCACGAGAGUUUGAAACACCCGAAGUCGGCCGGCCAACCCUAUGG